AUGACUGGACGACAACAUUGUGCUCAUGCACAUUCUGUUCGCGGCCUCAGUGUGGCUGCCUCGUUGUGGCAUUCAUCAUUACCUUUCCUCGCCCCCUCCUUGUAUGCCACAGUUCGGCAAGGUCCCAGCCACCUAGGAGUCCCAUGGGUGGGAGAGAGAGUACCCUCGUCCCUCGGCGGCGAGCAUCACAAGAAGAAACAGUAUGCCGUGGCGGCAAGCAGCAGCAGUUUGUCUUGCUAUUUUUUUGUUUUGAAAACUGCCAAGGGAGUAUAUUUGAUAUUAGAGACCUCAUGUAUGGAAGCUGCGUGUAUUCAGGAAGUUGUCAUGGAAAGUGAACAUUGA
rnacentral:rRNA from 1 species